AGCAGCCGCGGUAAUUCCAGCUCCAAUAGCGUAUAUUAAAGUUGUUGCAGUUAAAAAGCUCGUAGUUGAAUUUCGGGGUCAGUAGAUUGGUCGUGCCACUGGUAUGUACUGGUCUUACUGGCUCCUCCUUCCUGAUGAACCGUAAUGCCAUUAAUUUGGUGUUGCGGGGAAACUGGACUGUUACUUUGAAAAAAUUAGAGUGUUUAAAGCAGGCUAACGCUUGAAUACAUUAGCAUGGAAUAAUGAAAUAGGACGUUCGAUCUUAUUUUGUUGGUUUCUAGGAUUGACGUAAUGAUUAAUGGGGAUAGUUGGGGGCAUUAGUAUUCAAUUGUCAGAGGUGAAAUUCUUGGAUUUAUUGAAGACUGACUACUGCGAAAGCAUUUGCCAAGGAUGUUUUCAUUAAUCAAGAACGAAAGUUAGGGGAUCGAAGACGAUCAGAUACCGUCGUAGUCUUAACCAUAAACUAUGCCGACUAGGGAUCGGAUGAUGUUAAUUUUUAAUGGCUCAUUCGGCGCCUUAA
rnacentral:rRNA from 1 species